UACGUAGGUGGCAAGCGUUGUCCGGAAUUAUUGGGCGUAAAGCGCGCGCAGGCGGUCCCUUAAGUCUGAUGUGAAAGCCCACGGCUCAACCGUGGAGGGUCAUUGGAAACUGGGGGACUUGAGUACAGAAGAGGAAAGCGGAAUUCCACGUGUAGCGGUGAAAUGCGUAGAGAUGUGGAGGAACACCGGUGGCGAAGGCGGCCACCUGGACGGUAACUGACGCUGAGACGCGAAAGCGUGGGGAGCAAACAGG
rnacentral:rRNA from 1 species